rnacentral:lncRNA from 1 species
UUUAAUCGGGAGUUAGUUCAUAAAAGUUGGCACCUGGUUCAUUAAAACGGGAAAAGCUGGAUUAAAGAUUAUGGUAGUCUCUUAGAAACUAAUAAAUUACAGUUGGAAACAAAGUACAUGUCUAGUAACUUGCUCUAAUGUAGAUGAAGGCUUGUCCUUCUUCCCAUUCAAAGCAAUCAGAACAACAUUGGAAACCCUGUAUUGUGUUCCAGAACAUACAAAAGAUUAUAAAUGUAAUUAUUUGUCAAAGAUAGAUCAAACUAUUCGACAGCCAAAAAAACUGUAGCAAUAGGUAAUAUGGUGGACUAUAGAAAGAAACUAUACCUUUGGUGAGAGAAUCAACAACUCCAUCGGACUCUAUAUACUUCAUGGAAGCUUCUUCUUUUUUACUUCUUUCUCCUGAUUCAGACAGAUCCAAAAACAGUUCAAAAUCUAUUAAAGAAGUUGCAGAUAAUGGGGCAUCCUUACAUCUAGUGAGGAAACAACAAUGAAAACAGUCAAAAGAGAAAAAAGGAAAAAAAAACAGAUUUCAUAACUCUUUAAAACUACAUUUAGGUUAGUUUUCUUUAUUUCUUUCAGGAAAGGAUCAAAAGUUACAUACCUCUUUGAAAUGCUUUAUCUCCUUGUUCCAAAAUAUACAAAAAGCUUCGAUUUCUGCAACAACUGAUUCUAUGAAACUCCACAUUAAAAUUGAAAUACAAUUUGUUACAACAUAAAAUAAGCCUCAUCUCAGCUUAUUGACAACAUAUGACUUUCGUACAUGUUUAGACUAUUAGGAGCAAUGAACCCUGGUUCAUUUGACUUGCCGGAGGAUUUCGUAGUUCUGGAAGCCAUUGGUUGCUGUGUUUAUGUGGAAUUGGUGAAUAACGUGAAGGAGAGAGAAUGAAGAUGAAGGUUUAUAUAUAUAAGGGCAGACAAUGUGGGAAUGUAAACAGUUGCAUCCCUGUCGCUUGCUUCUUUAAACAAUGGGCCUUUAAGACAAAAAAAAAUGUGAGAGGAUGAAGUGUCGAAGGAGUACCGGAAGAGUUAGAAACAGCUGUGUAAUCCUAAAGUGAUCGAGGAAGGUGAAGAGUGGGAGGAUAGAUUCGUUGAAUUCAGUCUUGAGCUAUAUUAUUGGGCUAAAGAGAAAAUAACAUGUUUUAAGUCCGGACCGUGAUGACAUGGCAAAAUGAUUGGUGUGGAAUAUUUUUGUCUACGUGGCAUCCCUCUUUGGCCUUUAUUUUAGUUCCUUUUAUUUAUAGUAGAUGUAAUAAGGAUAAAACAAAAAAAAAUAGUUUUCUUAAUUUAUGUGCAAAAAUUUUAAACAACACUUAUUAUGAAACAAAGAAAAUCUUAAGAUAAAAAAUCCAAUAUCAGAAACAUUAAUGGCCAAAUUUUAGAGAACAUUUAUUCAAAAAGAAAAAUUUUAGAGAACAAAUUACAAUGAAUUCAUUGUUCAUCAAAAUUUACACAGUUUUUUUUUUCAAGUUAUUUAGACAUAGGUCUUCCCUGUUCCUUUCAUUUCCUCAUAUUUAAAGGAAUUUAUAAAUAAUUAUUUUCGCUUCCGAUUUUGAAGAAAACCAAAUGAAACAAAAAAAAAUUAUUUUUAAUAUAUAUAUUUUUGAUUCUUCAAAUUAUCUACUAUAUUAAAUAGAACCAUUAAAAUUUUAAUGAACAAAAGUUAUUGUUGGACCAUAAAGUAUAAAAAUCUGCUAUAUUUGUGUAAACAUUUAUAUUUUAUCCUAACUAAGAUAUUAUUGUUUGGAAAAUACUAUUGUUGAAAAGUUAUAGCAAUUAUAUAUAUAUAUAUAUAAGUAUUUAAAAUAAAUAAUUGAUUAACUAAUCUUAUUCUCAAGUGGAUUCUCAUGUCACUAUGAAUUCCAAAUUAUUAACUUAAAUAAUCCUAUUCCGAAAAAAAAAUACUCAAAUAAUAUAAAAUCAUUAUCGUAACAAAAUGUAUAGAUAAUUUGAAUGUUUUACCAACGUUGAGUUGGCGUAGUGGUAAAAAGAUAGUGUCUAUAACUAUUGCUACGUGGGUUUAAUUCACGUUAAGAAAGACUAUUUAUAAUGCUUUUGUUCUAGGCAAAGAGGUGAAACCAUUUUUUGUAGACCAAAAAAAUAUUUGAAUAUUUUAAAAAUAAUAACCAAACAAAUUUGUAAUUCAAUAUGUACUACCGUCAAAAAAUUGGAUGAUAUUUCACCAUUUAACGUUUUGCCAAGUUUCCUUUUCAUCAUCGUUCAAAUUCUUUGAUUUAUCAACCUUAAUGCAUUCACACAGACAAAGACAGCAAAGGUACCGUAAAUUUUUUUGCCUGGUUAGACAUCUACACCCGAACCAAAACAAAGGCAUGCGACUUUGGUUAGCCAAAGUAUUUGGUAUUUUGGAUUAGUUCAGUAAAAUGGUUUGUCUAAUCUUGGUUAAUGUAAAAUUGAUUACUUUUCUUAUAAGACAGUUUAAUUUUGAUAUAAGCCGAUCUUAGUUUUGAUAUAAUCUGGUUAUUUAAAAUAUUUGUUGCAGAAACUGAUCGGUUAACCUGAAUGGAACCAACAUUCUCGGGUAAAUGAACCCAAAUGAAAUUUCUGCCGAUAUGUUCAGUUGAGAGAGAACCAAUACCAAACCCGAAACUGAAAAAACUGGUUCGGUUACUUUCAGGCCAAAUUCGCAGGCGUAACAUAACUGGUUCGGUUAUUUUGGACAUCCUCCACAGAAUAAAGAACAAAUUUACAGUUUCGGAGUUUUGAGUUUUAUAUGAUUUUCUUUUUACAUUUCCUUUUUAGUUUAGUUUAAGGUGUUUUUUGUAGGUUUAUUAUUUUCUGUGUUAUGGCCAGUAAAAAUAUUUUUUUAUGAUCAAUAAAGAAUCAACUAGAUGUGAAAAAGAAACUAGAGAUAAAAGGAAAUUUCUUUCUAUUAUCAUGUGAUUAAUCACUGCUCCAUUCACAAGUUCUAAGAGCAUCUCCAAUGAGAUAUAUCUCCAAUGGUGAUAUCCCAUUGGAGUCCUUAGAAAAAGUUUUUUUGAUUUUUUAAUUAUUUUUUUUUUCAGAUAAAAAAAAAGAAAUAUCAACCAAUCGCGGACUGCAACAUGUUGUGGGGGCCCACAAAUAAUGCAAGGAUUCACUAAGAAAUAGUCAUUAUUUAGAGAUUUUAAUGAUUGAAUCCUUAGUUUUUGGUAGGGUCUAUUGAUUAUUUAAUUAUUUUUUUACUAAAAAAUCCCCUUAAAGAUUGCUGCUGCGGAUGCUCUAAGGUAAAAAAAAAUGCAGACUCAUAUCAUAUAUCAACCAACAAGGAUUCAACCUUUAGCAAAGCUGUUUUUUCAUUAUAUAAGUGUUCCCGGGCAUUACUUACUAGGUUCUUACAGGACGGAUUUCAAUUCCUUGAAUGAUCAAGCCACUCUUCCAAUGGCCAAGCUUGGUCUCUAAAGCACUCAUCUCAAUUUCAUCACUAUUCAUUAUAUCUCCUCCACUGAAGAAUUCCCCAAGCUCUAUCUCCAUCCACCCAUCUCUUCUUUCAUGUGGCCUCCUUCGCCUCCUCCUCAAAGACAGCCCAUCCACUCGCGCAUCAAAGUAUAUGAAUCUUGUAGAAGCUUCAUUCCCCACCACUCCAACUCCAGCUUCUAUAGCCACAUCCUCAAAGCUGUUACAAUGAUUUACCUUCUUAAACACAAUGUAAGCCGAGUAACGUGUUCUUGGAGAUAGGACACGAGUCUUCGUCCUGCCUCUAAUCUCAAACCAACAUAAAUCAAGAAGCUUCGCAACUCUUUUAAACCUGCAAACACACACACACCACCAAGUUUUUUUUUUAAUCAGGCAUCAUCAUUCAUCAUCCGAACUAUUUAAUUACAAACUUGAUUAACGAGAUUAUUACCUAGCUUCAGGAAAUGUAAUCCAUUCCCAAUACUGUGGAGUAUCUCCCCACAUGAUUGAGAUGUUCAUCGCAGAUAACAUGAUACACUUCUUUCCACUGGCUUUGUCUAACCAAAAGCUCUUUUAUUUCCCAGAAGAAAAAAAAACAGAAUUAUUCAAUAGCAACAGCUGAAACAAGCUUUGUUUUAUAGGCCAUAAUUCUCUAACAGAUCAUUUAUUCUCAAAAUCAUAUAAAAAGGUCCAAGACCGAUAUAUACAUUUACUAUACCUUUGUACCAUCGUCGAUAAGAACAGGGUCCUCGCAAAACGCGAAGUAUAGCUCCUUCUUGGAUGAGAAAUGACGCGAUGAAGGAACAAGGGAUUCAUACUGGGGCGGAAGAAACUUCUCCCAUACAACAUGUCAACAUCUGACUUCGCCGCAGAUUCAAAGGCUUUAGAAACAGUAGCGACGACGCACGCAUCACGUGGACUUGUGCAGGAGACUAUCUUGCAGAUGCAAUCCUCCGGAAAGGAAUCGAACGGCGACGAAUCCGAACCGAUCUCUCGUCUGCGUUUGCCGUGAUUUUCACUCAUCCUCGUCGUCUAGUCUAGAGAGAGAGAGAGAGAGAUUCCUCUUGACUUAUCUAACACUUUUUCCGACAUAUUUACGACAAAACACUUAUCCGCGUCGACGUGGAAGUUUCGGAGAAAUUCAUAAUUAACAAGGUUGACGUCACGAUUGUAAUAAAAGUCAACAAAGAAGAGCUGCUACUGAUCAAAACACACACUCUUUUUUCUUUUAUCAACAAAAGUGUUCAUGUGACCGAGGAUGAUGAAUCUAAAUGCUGUAUCAUCCACAAAAUUUGAGUCCUAUUACGUAGCAUUGGUCUAACUAUACUAAACCCCAAUUGGGCAUACAAAUCCGAUUACAAACCUGAAUCCGAUUACAGUGGUCUAAUUGGAUGGACAUUUUGACUCAAACCAAAAAGUCCCGUAAUAUCGAACCGCGCUUCCAAACCCGGUAUACAUAUAUAGCGCAAAGUUGUUGUUUACGGAAAUUCAAAGUUACAAGUUACAACUUGAAUUUCCUUCUUCAAUCAAACGCAUAACCAAUCAAUACAUAAUCGGUUUGACCGGGUUAAGAAAAUCAACCAACUGUUUCACCGCGCUUUACAACCUUUGGGCCACGAGAAACAAGCAAUAGCCCGUUAAGCAUUAAAACCCAAAAUAUUGAAAUCGUUAAGCCCGUCUCCAUGCCCAGCUAUGCUCAGCAACGGCUCCUGUGCAAUAAGACAAAACCAGCCAGAGCAAGCCUCUAUGAUAUGAUCAUUAUUUUUGACAAGGGAGAAGGUAUAUCAAUGAUUAUGCCUAGUGUUUUAGAAUGUAUGUGUGUUUUCUUUUUGGUGAAACCUAGCGAUGCCGUAUAUACUAAAAUGCCCCUGAUUAGGCGCGUCUCAUUCACACUCCUGUUUCUGAGUCAAUAAUACAAUCUGAUGAUUCGUUGGUUAGUUUUGGAUUUGGUUUGGAAAUUUCCAUUUAUUUUUUGUUCAAAGGUUUGGAAUAAUUCUUAGCUAAAACAAACCAAAUUAUAAAAAAAGUAGGUCAAGUCAGGUAGGCAAAUUGUGGAUCAACGGUGUCAAAAACGCAAAAAAUAUGUUAUCAAUUUCAUUUUUAUAAUAUAGUCUGACUAGAUAUUCCAGAAGGCUAUCAAAUUAGAAAAAUAGAUAAAGUCAUAAAACUGAAAAAAGGAGUAGAUGCGCUUUCUCAUUUUCAUUUGAAUUUCCGUAACAGAAAUAAAAAAAAAUAUAAAACUCAAAUCACGCUUUUCUUGUUGAAAGCAAACAAACCAACGACACUAAAGCCAGGCGUAAAUCCGCCGCAACCACCCCAGUUUCUCUCCGACGGCGUCGGAGCUUCCGUUACCGUAACGACGAAGCUUGACUAGCGCCGCCGUAGGCUGAUUCCGUGCUUCCUUUUGAAUCGAAUCUCUUCACAGGUUUGAUUUGUUAAACCCUAGCUCUACUUUCUAAACUUUUGUGAUUCUUUUCUAUUUUUUUUUUUGUUUGCGAUGAGAUUGAGAGAUCUAAGUGAUUCGACUACUGUAUGAUUGUUUGAUUUGAAAAUCGGAAAGUUACGAUGUUCGUCGUCGAGAUUCUUCCUCCUUGUAAUUUUAACUUUACUUGUUAGUUAUCGUUUUCCUUGUGUGUCUUCGAAGUUGCGAAGCUAAGCAUAUUGUAUCUGCAGGGUUUUGAUGUCAAAUCCACUGAAAGAGCCAAGAGAGGAUACCUCAGGCUCGGUUCGUCACAUGAGGGAAGAUAAUGAAUACGUUCGCCUUGUUGUUGGGACCCCCCAUGAACCUUCUCCUCCUGAAACCGUGUUAGUAUCGCAAUCAGAGAUCCGGACUAGAAACUUGAUCUGGUGGUUUAAAGCUUUGGGGAUUUGUGCACUUGCUCUCGUCCUCACUCUUGUCUUCGCCAAAUGGGGAGUUCCAUUUGUAUUCCAAAAGGUGCUUCCUUUUUUUUUCUCAAAUCUCAAGUUGAUUCCUUUCAAUAACGGUUUUAUCGAGUGUAAUGGUGUUAGUUUGAUUGUAGGUUUUGAUUCCGAUUCUACAAUGGGAAGCAACUGCUUUUGGCCGUCCUAUGCUCGCCAUCGUCCUUGUUGUUUCCUUGGCUUUGUUCCCUGUCUUCUUGAUCCCUUCUGGUCCUUCCAUGUGGCUAGCUGGCAUGAUUUUCGGUUAUGGUCUCGGUUUCGUUAUUAUCAUGGUUGGAACCACCGUUGGCAUGGUUCUUCCUUACUUAAUCGGCCUUAUGUUCCGUGAUCGCCUCCACGUAAGAACCCAACCCUUUCGUUUCUUGAUGACAAGUUCACUGUACUUAUGUUCUUUUUCAAAAAUGCAGCAAUGGUUGAAAAGGUGGCCUCGUCAAGCCGCUGUUCUUAGAUUAGCAGCAGAAGGAAGCUGGUUCCAUCAGUUCAGAGUCGUGGCAAUCUUUCGUGUUUCUCCAUUCCCUUACACCAUUUUCAACUACGCCAUCGUUGUGACAAGCAUGAGGUUCUGGCCUUACUUGUUCGGUUCCAUAGCAGGAAUGAUACCUGAAGCUUUCAUCUACAUUUACAGGUCACUCUCUCAUUCUCCUCAGUUUACUUCCUAGAAACUGCAACAUGCUUCUAAAGAAAAAAACGAAAAUUCAAAUGCAGCGGUCGAUUGAUCAGAACAUUCGCGGAUGUGCAAUACGGACAUCAACGUUUGACAACGGUAGAGAUAGUGUACAACGUAAUCUCCUUGAUCAUUGCGGUUGUGACGACUGUAGCUUUCACCGUGUACGCUAAAAGAGCUUUGAGAGAGCUUCAGAACGCAGAAGCCAACGAAGAUGAGGAAGUCCAGGUUAGAAAGCCAGGGAGAUUGGAGAUGAAGAACGUUGAAGAUAAUCAUAGGCGUUUGGGUUCUUCUCAUGCAUUGCCCUAACUCUCAGGGAAGAUAUAAGAACUAGAUUUGUAUAAAGGUUAAGGUUGGUUGGUUAUUCAGCAGGGCAGGACAGGAGUAAGAGUAAAUAACCAAAAAAAAGGGAAUGAAUAUCAAAAUAUGCAGUCUGAUGUAGUAAACCAGGAAGACUAAUCAAAGGUUAAUAAUAGUGUUGCUGAUUUCACUUGUUGAAAUAGAUAAGAAGCAGUCACUUUAUUUGUUUUUUUAAAUCAAAUUGAAUAUUGUGGAUUACAAAAAAUUCUAUAUUGGCAUAAAGUUUUGGAUAAUUUUGAUUCUUCAUGGAUGCCCUUAAUCCGAACAAAAAUAUCGUGAAAUAAUUUUGUUUGGUAAUGUAUCUUUGAAAUGUUUGAGAUUAAAUUUAUUUAUUAAAACAUUAAUAUACAAUUCUGGGCCUACAGUUGGAGUAUUCUCCCCGUUAAAAGUCUUCUCCAGCGACGAUUACCUUAAAACUCUUUUUGAUUGGUUUAUUUUUUGUAACAAAUUAAUUUCCAGUGUCGUCUCCGAAUUCUCCACAUCUUCUGUGUACUACUAAAGACAAUACACAAUCAUCGACUGUGAAGAAACCAUUUACUGAACAUGGUUAAGUCUCUUCUGCUCUUCAUAAUACUCCUCCCCCAUGGUCAAAAAUCAGACUGAUUGAUGGUUUAACUCAUAAAUAUAUUUGUUUAUUUUGAUGGAUGAUCAGGCGAAUUUGGGAGAAGAGAAGAAGGAGAAGCUGAAGCUCUACUCUUACUGGAGAAGCUCCUGCGCUCAUCGUGUCCGUAUCGCCCUCUCUCUUAAAGGUCUUGCUAAUAUUGGUUGAUUUUUCUACUCUUUUUCUUCUUUUGUUUUCUUCUCUCAUCUGAAUUGGAUCUGUGUUUAGGUCUUGAAUAUGACUACAUACCUGUGAAUCUGCUCAAGGGUGAACAGUCCGAUCCAGGUACCUACUUUCCUUGCUUUGAUAAGCUCUGAUUGAACAAAAAUAAAUAAAUAUAUAUACAUGAGUCAUUUACAACUGAUAAUUGGUUUGUUUAAAAAGUUUUAUUACCGUUUUGAUUCUCUAGAUUUCAAGAAGAUCAAUCCAAUGGGUACUGUACCUGCUCUUGUUGAUGGAGAUGUUGUCAUAUCCGAUUCUCUUGCUAUCGUAAUGGUCAGUAUAACUAACUAACACCCAUUGUGUGUUUUUUUUUCUGGAUUCAAAGGAACAUUUCAGCCAUCUUUGUUUUUUUUGUGUGUGUUUGACAGUAUCUGGAUGAGAAGUAUCCUGAGCCACCUCUCUUACCUCCUGACCUCCACAAACGUGCUGUCAAUUUCCAGGUACUCUGCAAUCUGUUACUUUCUGUCAACUCUUUAACUUUCUUUUUUUUU